rnacentral:rRNA from 1 species
AUACGUAGGUGACAAGCGUUAUCCGGAUUUACUGGGCGUAAAGGGCGUGUAGGCGGUCUUGCAAGUCAGAAGUGAAAUUCCUGAGCUCAACUCGGGCGCUGCUUCUGAAACUGCAGGACUUGAGUGCUGGAGGGGAUAGCGGAAUUCCUAGUGGAGCGGUAAAAUGCGCAGAUAUUAGGAAGAACACCGGUGGCGAAGGCGGCUAGCUGGACAGUAACUGACGCUGAGGCGCGAAAGCGUGGGGAGCAAACAGGAUUAGAUACCCGGGUAGUCCACGCCGUAAACGAUGAAUACUAGGUGUAGGGGGUAUCGACUCCCUCUGUGCCGCAGUUAACACAAUAAGUAUUCCGCCUGGGGAGUACGGCCGCAAGGUUGAAACUCAAAUGAAUUGACGGGG